rnacentral:sRNA from 1 species
UUCGCCUGAGCGCGACUGAAUUCGGGUC